CAUGCGGAUUUGGUGGGGUUAGAAAGCUUGACCAUUGAUGUGUACCUUUUGGAAGCCAAUGUAGGAGAUACUCUGCUGCAACAAUUGCCGUUGCAUAUGCUCUCAUUGAACGAUUAAUCGUUGAUAUCACUGUAGCACCACCAGGAAUGGUCAACGCUGAUAAUGAUUUGCAGAAUCCAGCAGGAUCUGCUACAUGCUCAAUCACCUCUAGCGCAAUCACAGCAUCGAAUUGUCUCUGUUCUUCAACCAGGCUUUCAGCUGUUGUGCACCGAUAUUCAAUUGAAGAAGUUUGUGGAUCCAAAUCCGCAUGAAGGCGAGCAAUCUUAAUAUUUUUGUCCACAGCAUCAACUCCCGUGACCGUAGCUCCCAUUCGAGCCAAAGGCUCAGAUAAAAUUCCGCCUCCACAACCAACAUCAACAAACUUCAGUCCUUCAAAAGGUCUAGUGCAAUUUGGAUCCUUUCUGAAGUGCCGACAAAGAGUGGACCUAAUAAAAGCAAGUCUUGUAGGGUUCAUCAGAUGCAGAAGGACCCUUUAAGCCAUUACAUCUGAUGAACCCUACAAGA
rnacentral:misc_RNA from 1 species